GCCGUUAAAGCUCAGAGGCUGAGCGUAUGUUUAGUAAACAUAAGGUCGAGGGUUCGAUUCCCUCUGACGGCU
rnacentral:tRNA from 1 species